rnacentral:lncRNA from 1 species
GGAUGAUCACUGAUCUCCAAACUAACACUGGAUAGUGUAAGUGUUAAGAUAUAUUGGACUACAAAUGUACAGCGGUGUUACUGAUCAUUCCAAUUUCUCACAUCAGUGGGAUUCGGACAUGAUUCCUUACUAAUUUCAGGGUUGUCGCGAAGAGGUUCAAGUAGGGUGAGGGUGUCUGAAAUAUACAAAAUUUCUCGAAAUAUGUGACGUGAAAUUUUUUAUUAGUAUAGGUAAUCGCAUGGGGCCGAGUAAAAUUAAGGUUUAAUUUCACGCGAGUUUUCAAAGCGGUUUCACAAUUUGUGAAACUUUGAAAACACAAAUGAAAUUAAACCUUAAUUUUACGAGGAACUAUGCGAUUACUUGUGAAUCAUUGAGGGCAAAAUUUAUUCGUAAGUUAAUUGUGAACUUGUCAAGUUCUUGAACCUCGUAUGUCUCCAUGUCUUCGCCGAUGUUCCUUAAUUAAUGCUCUCCAUUUCUUAAAUAGUCCAACCAAUAAAUUUGUACUUUUUCUAGUAUUCAAGUUUUCACUAGAAGUUUAUAAUAUUGAUAUAUUGAAAUAAGUCACAAGGCUUAAACGAAAGUUCGUAUGCUGGCAAUAAAAGAGAUUGUAAUUGAACAACUUUUCGUUUGCAAUUAAAACAGCCCUCAAUAGGGACUGGCGGUAACUAACAAUAGAAAGUUUGACUAUGUUCAAUUUUCUUCAUGUGUUUGCGCAACUGCACAAUGGUGUGACUCGAAUGGGAAGCUCAUCCCGCGUGGAUACAGCGAGUGUAUGUAAAGACAAGGGCGUAAUGGGCGUUUUGUGAAAAUGUGCGAGACAACUUUAUCUUGAAGAACAUCUCAUACAUAAUCUAUUUAACAUUUCCUAUCAUGAAAAAUAGUGGUUUGAAAACAAUAACGACAUAAGUGAAAUUAUCUGUUUUGAUCUAAAGGGGAAUUCUUUUAAACAGUUAUGCUUCCAGCUGUCCUGGUUGGUUGACAUAAGCAUUGCAUGAUAAAUGAAUUUUUAAAAGCACUGCGUAAAACCCUAAAAGCCCAAAGAAAUAUAUAUAUCAUGCCAUUACUACAGUCUGAAAUCACGUGCGCUUCAACUGAAUACUAUACGCUUGAACGGUCAGUGCAGGUCGUGCCAUGCAAUAAUAAGAAACCUGCAACUACCUGAAAAACACAAGAGAACAUCAAUUGUAUUUUUCAGGUAAUUGUAUUCUUAUCAAUCCGAAGCUUUCUGAACACUAUAAGACCUACAAGACUGAACACAUGCAUUCCCAUGACUGGUAGACGAAUAUGAAAGACGUGGGGCAUUGUGGGGAGCAAUCGUAUGCAUGGCCUCCUCCCGAAAAACAAAAAACAUGCUACUCUGCAUGAGUGUUUAAAAUUCAUGUGACUUCAUAACAUCAUUCAAAGGCAUAGAAAUUAUUUCAAUGUAUUAACAAAAUAACGGGUUAAGUAUGAGACAUGAUGACCUAAUUUUGUUGACACAAACGUAUUGUUAUAUAUACAUGACAAAGUUAGUUAUUUAAACAAAUGCAAGUGCAUCGUAAACAUUUACCGCAUUUUAAAUAUGCAACUAUUUCAAGAUGUUGAAACAAGAGUUUAUAGUGCAGCGGAAAAGUAAAAAAUCAUGCACUUUCUGAAGAAAGCACGCAAUUCACAGGAAGUGUAGACUUUAACAUGAUAAUGAAUCUUAGAUAUGGAGGCAUCACCAAAAUUGAUGCUGACGGAUUAAAAUUUAGGAUUUCUUAUGUUUAAAAUUGUGAAAUUGCAGGUUCACAAAUAGCAAAAAUGACUCCCAUGAUUAGAAAGCAUACAAAAAACUACAUAUAAGACUUUUAAACGGCUGAUUGAUUUUCCAAGCGGUUUUCCAGUUAUUGCUAUUUAAAAACGUGAUAAAUAGGCAAAAUUCCCGCCAAAGUCCUGGACACUAGCCCUAAAACAUAUUUUCAACCGCUCAUAACUCCAGAGGAGUUGGAAAAUCAAAGUAACUGUUUAAAUGUCUUAUAUGCAGUUUUUUGUAGACUUUGUAAGCUUUCUAAUGAAGCAUGUCAUUUUUGCUAUAUGUGAACCUGCAAUUUCACAAUUAUUAAUUGUAUAAGAGAUUCAUAAGAGAAUAUAAGAAAUCCUAAAUUUUAAGCCGUCAGCAUCAAUUUUGGUGAUGCCUCCAUAUCUAAGAUUCAUUAUCAUGUUAAAGUCUACACUUCCUGUGAAUUUGGUGCUUUCUUCACAAAGUGCAUGAUUUUGUGAAAUAUCUAUUAAAUAUAGACACUUUAUCGAGUGCGACGGCUGAUCGGUGUAGCUCAGUUGAUUACAGCGCAGGACCGGAAUCGCACGGCUGCAGGUUCAAUCCCUGCCAUAGGGCCUAUAGACUAUAGUUCAGAAAUAAGAGUUUGCAUUAGCAUUAGUAUGGGGGUUAGGAUUAGAGUUAGCUGUGAGGUGAGGUUUAGUAUUAUUGCAAGUGGUUGAUUGUUGAUUCUUUUACGUUUUAAUGAUCUUAAAAACUGGCAGCCAUCUUGAAAACCUGCCUCUAGUCCUUUAGUCACGACCUUUUUGGGGUAGUUCAAUACUUCGAUACUUUAAUGUGCCGAAUACAUUAAAAACAAUAGAUCAUCAUCUGAACUAUUUGAUUAUUUAUUGUCUUUAAUGCAUUCGAAUCGGCACAUGAAAAGUUCGACGUCUGAAACGGGCCUUAGUUCAAUACUUCUGCCGCACACAAGAGAAACUUGCUGAGUUAACCGCCUCGCGUGGCAGCUAGCUCAGCAAGUUCCUCUCGUGUGCGGAUAAUUUUCGUGAAGAUUUGACCUCUCGAGGCCUUGAGGAAAAUAUCUAUCGUGUUUGAUAUUUUUCACUUCGCGAAGAAAAAAUCUCAACGUCUGCGGAUCAGGGGCGUAAUUCGGGGUGUGUGGGGUGAGGUGUGUGUGUGUGUGCAUGUGUGUGUGUGUGAGGGGGGUGGGGUGCGACUCCCUCCCAAUGUUGUAAUAUUGCAGUUUUGUCGGGCAAUUUUAACGACACACUCUUCGGGCAACAAAAUAUGUAAUUCCGGCAAAAACGUUUAUAUAAUUUUUUGAAAAGUAAUAAAUGUAGGGAGAUGUUUUGAUAAAUCUACGAAAAUAUUACUAAAAAAUUGUACAAAUUUCGGUAAGUUAGUGAAAAAUGGUAUGUCCGACAAUUUUGGGAAAAGAAAUAUUAAUUAUCGUCUGAAAUACGACUUCCACCAUGCCCUUUUGGUCAGGCAAAACAAGCUCACAUCCCCCCAGCCGUAAUACCCAAGUUACGGUGCAGAAUGCAUAACUGAGCUAGCCGCCGCCUGAUGAUUUUAAAAUGCAUAACUGAGCUAGCCACCACGCGAGGCGGUUAGUUCAGCACGUUCCUCUCGUGUGCGGCAGGCUUUAGUACGCAACUUGCAAAGUUGCUUUUGCAAGUUCCACACGGGAAUAUUUACAACAAACUUGGGAACCGCGCUUUGAAAAAUGACCUGAAAUCGGCAAUUCUGCAGUUGAAAGGGCGAGGAGGUUCUAUAUUAGAGGUGUGCAUCGGAUCGGAUUGGACGUUUAUAAUCCGACAAUUGGCUAAUGUUUAAAAUCCGAUCCGAAAUUGUCUAAUCCGAAUCCGAUCCGAAUUUUGAUAUAAAAGAAUUACGAUCCGAUCCGAAGAAUCCUUCAAUAAAAUAACUUUCUCAUUCAAGUGGAAAUAUUUAACCAAAUAAUAACUAUUAUAUUUAUAAUUAAUUCAUUUUAUUUCGAAUAUCGCAGUCAGAUCCGACUACGAAACAACUUUAUCAAUCCGAUCUAAUCCGAAAUGAAUAUUUUUGUUCCGAAAUCCGAACGAAUCUGAUCGGAUUUGCACACCUCUAUUCUAUAUAGACACAACCUGCAAACAUGCAUGUUUCUCAUGUUCCAAUUCUAUUAUCUAAUAGAGUCCGAAUAUUAACAGUGUAUAAAUGCACCUCUCAUGCACUCUCAUCAACUUUGAGCAGCUUCAGAUUUUGAUGCGAGUUGAUGAGAGGUUUCGCGCGGCAAUAUCCAAUCAACUCUCAUCAGAUCUCGUGCAAUUCUUGUUCUCGUUUGACCGGUGCACGAGAGUUGAGCAGAAAACGCUCAUGCAAACACUUGCUUGCCAACUCUCAUCAACUCUCAUGCAACUCUUGUUCUUGUUUGAUCGAGGCACGAGAGUUGAGAAAACUGACGCUCAUGCAAACUCUCACUUGGCAACUCUCAUCAACUCUCAUGCAACUCUUGUUCUUGUUUGAUCGGGGCACGAGAGUUGAGAAAACUGACGCUCAUGCAAACUGUCACAUGGCAACUCUCAUCAACUCUCAUGCAACUCUUGUUCUUGUUUGAGAGUUGAGAAAACGCUCAUGCAAACUCUCGCUUGCCAACUCUCAUCAUGUUGAUCAUUUGUUCUACCAUUCUUCAAUUAGUGUUUUUUGAAGAAAGGAUUCAACUUGAAAUAAAACAUUCCGAUGGAAACUCUGAAUAGCAGUAAAGUUAGUAAACUAUUUCAUGUUGGAUCCUCAUAAAUCAUCCAAUGACAAGAUAAUAGUAAUCAAGUAAAGAUUACUAAAGUCUUGAUCUCAUCAUUGCAACACUACAGUCGCAAAAACCUUUCCAAGUUAUGACUAUGCAAUCCAGCUGCAAAAAUAUUGGGAGUUCAGCUCCCAAUCGGCAUAAAUUUUUAACAGGGGAGUGCUCAGUCCCCCUCUCCUACACCCCUGCCGCAAAAAUAUAUGAUUUAGAAUGCGUGACAAUGGCCACGUGAUUACCGAUCAUUAAAAGUGGAAAUUAAAGAUGAAGUAGCAUUUAACACUGUAGAUGUAAUUGUGAAGACGUUUCGCACCCAAUAAAUCCAUCCGCAUCAGCACCUUUCCAGCGUUUUAUUUUCACACGUACGCCACACGUACGGAAAAGUUUAGAUAUUUCUAUAUUUGAUUUCUAAAAAUUAUCUCAACAAUUACACUUCAAAUCAUGUAGAAAAGUAAAUGCUGUAAUUUUGUUCGGAAAUAGAUUUAAACUUAUUCCAUGGAUUUUAAUUUUUCCGUGCGUCCUACGCACGUAUGAAAAACGCUUUAUACCGGCGAUGCCCACGCUCAACCACUUCAACCACGCAUGAGUUUGCAAUACGUAGGAAAGUUCAAACUUUUUUGAACAAGUAAUUAGAUAGUAAUUAGGAUUUAUUUAUUUAGAGAUAUUGAAUACGUUUUUGAGAAAAGAAAAAGUAUAUAGGUUAUAGCUAGCAUUAUGAUUUAUAUAUUAAUAUCUAUGCAGUGUACAUAGUGGACAAGUCAAGUUCGAACUUCGAGAACACAUUAGAUGCUGACGUUGAUGAGGCGACAGAUGGCUGAUGCAGUUACUCCAAUUCCUUAUCUUUCAACACCUGUUUCAAGCAGUAUUUCAGUGGAAAUGAAAAAUUUAAACCGAUAUACACCAUGUUAUAGAAGAAUACAACAUUAUUUAAUUUCGUUCACGACUAUAUAUAUGAUUAUAAAAACAAACCAGGUAUUAUACUACAGUGCGGUGCCUGGAGCAUGAGCAAAGCAAGUGCACCACAAGCGCAAAAACGUAUUAUUUUUGAAUAAAUGACACGGCUAAUAGCGAACAAAAGAAUAUAAAGCGAUGUCACACUUCGUUUGGGCACCGCAAUAUAUUAAAAAAAUAGUUGAAUAUCUUCAGGGAAGCAUAUUCAUAUAAAAUUUUCAUACUAAAAGUGAAAGCUAUGACAAAACAGCAAGACCUGGGCCAUUCGUGAGAAUUUAAAUACGCCUACAGUACAUGAUGCAUAUUUUAUUACUCAUGACGAUAAAUAUUGUGUGAGUGAAAAACUUGUUAUGAACUUAGUGUUUCCAUUAAUAUCACAAAGAACUCUAUCACUGUAAUCUUUUCACAAUCUCUUGUCAAAUCUGAAAUGGACUAAAACACUUGACAAAAUACUGUGUAAUCAAGUUGAGAUGUGAUUAGAGUGGUAAUUAGGAGAACAUUAAACAAGUCAAUUGCAUGCAUUUUUAAAACUUCUCUCAAAUAGUGCGAGAUAGGAUUCAAACGCGCGCUUAUCAUCUCAUCUCACGCUGAUAAUUUAGGCCACAUUAGUGGGAACCAGCUGGACCGCUAUAGUUAAUUAUAAUUAGUUGCUUAGGCUUAGCAAAUAACAUUCUUUUCAAAGGCUUUUAUGGCGGCGGUAUAAAUAAAUGAGACGAGCAAAAUAGUGUUCAACAGUUUUGAAGUGAGCUAACUGAGUUACAACAAGAGCUAGAAGCAGGUAGAUUCAAGUGACAUGUAAGUAUCAGUGAUUCAGUGUUAUAUUAUUGUGGUUAACAUAAAAUUCAAAGCAAACUUCCUGACAGGUUGUUUAUAAAUUUGGAAAUAUUUCUUCAGAAAUAUUGUUUGAAUCAGUACGAGUUUUCUUCUCUAAAGUUUUGAGAUAAACAGACGCGCAGAAAUAUAUAAACUAAAACAGCAGGUCAAAUUUUAACCAAGGUUUAAUGCAUAAUGUGUAUGUGUAUUUUGUGACUGAAAUAGAAACAUUUCGGCGUCAGGCUCUGACGCGUGGCUGACUACUAUAUGGAGUAUGGACUUAUACACUAUUCCACGGUGAAAGUGAACAUAAGGAACAUUUAGUAACAUUUUGCCAACUUUUCAACAAUCCGGAUUGAUUUUCAUACCGGAUUGAUUUUCACUCCGAAAUAAAAAACACGGGUGUUCAAACUAUAUAUGCAUGUCGCUUCGCUCUGUUGCCAGCUCGUGUCUCGUUGUCGCCAUGGAAACAAGUUAUAUUUUUGGCCAGUAUACUAAAAUUUAUUAAAAACAAGAAGUAACACACGUUUUCUUUGUAAAGUAUAACUUUGUUUAAAAAGCUUGACUACCAGACGUUGCUUCGUUUCGCUCUAAUGCAAAAUUAACGAGUAUUUCUUUAAAUUUUGCCCUAUCGAAAGCGAAAAGUCAAUGUUAUUAUCGUUUUCUUUAUUUGUCUUCGCCAGAAAUAGUGAAGGCGACAAUGGUAAAACGUGCACGCCAAAACCGAUUUUGUACCGACGCGUACCAGAUUGGCCUGCUUAUACUGCUUCGGCACAUACCGGAUUACUUUUCAUAUCACCUCCAAAGCGGAGUGAUUUUUACGCCGCGUCGCGUACCGGAUUACUGUGGCGUACUGUGCAGUCAGGAAGUGUUUUUGUCAAAUAGAAAGAUCACAAAUCUGCUUGGUUUUUGGUUCACAAGUGCAUUUUGCAAACAUUCGCCAGAAAUUUUGCCCAGAUUUCCAUAUAGCUAAUUGCAAAAAUUUUCAUGCAGGAAAUUAAUUCCUUCCAAAGCCAAAACUUUACAGACUGCAUGAGUUCGCUCAUUACACGCUUCUCGAGUUACAGUAUAAUAAUGGAAGGUUUAUUUUACUUUUCUAUUAUAUUAAACUUUCAUAUUCAUUAAGUAUUUGCUGAAUAAGAUUAGUACGUUACAGUAGCCUGCGCUACAGACCUUAACAUUGCUAUUUUGAAAAUUCUUUUUGAAAAUCUCAGAUAAAAAAUACCUGGCAUUUCACAAUAUAUUGAAGUUCCUCAUAACCAAAAAGAAGGAAAAACAACAGUAGAAAUCAUAAAAAGCUUCGAUCGCCUCUUAGCUUCGAUCUCUGGCUAAAUCCUAACCUGAGUAUCAGGCUCUAUUUUACAAAUAGAGCCUGACACAAAACUUAACCUGAUCGCUUUCCGCCCACAGCAAAGUUUAUAUUUAGUAUCCAAUCAAAAUGUCGCAGGAGAAAUUUAAAUUUCAGCCCACUAAACAGCAUAACAGCCCACUAAACGGCUGAAUUUAAAUUAAAACUGCAAUGAACUUAUAAAAUUAACAAAAAUAAUCACAAAUUAGCGAAAUAUAUUGCAAAUGUAGCUUAAUAUUAAAUCGCCACCCAAUUGCUCUCUCCUCCGCAGAGGUUUCAGUGACUACAAUGAGCUUUACAUGGCGCUUGCCGUAUUUAUCAACAAACUGACGUAUAUUUAUAAAGUAUAUAUAUAUAUAUAUAUAUAUAUAUAUAUAUAUAUAUAUAUAUAUAUAUAUAUAUAUAUAUAUAUAUAUAUAUAUAUAUAUAUAUAUAUAUAUAUAUAUUAAAGCCCGUUUCAUACGUCGAAUUUUGGUCGCGUCGAAUGCAAUUAAGACAAUAGAUAAUGAGAUGAUAAACCUCAUUAAGCUUCAUUAUCUAUUGUUUGAAUUGCAUUCGACGCGACCGAAAUUCGACGUAUAAAACAGGCUUAAGUAUACUUUAUAACUAUACGUCAGUUAGUCGAUAGUGCAAUGUGAUGGCGAUUUAAUAUAAGCUACAUUUGCAAUAUAUUUCGCUAAUUUGCGAUUAUUUUCUAAUUUUACUGCAGUUUUAAUUUAAAUUCAGCCGUUUAGUUGGCCGGCUAUAAUUGUAGUUGUGAUCGUUAUACUAUCAACAACAAUAGUAUAAUCUAAUUAGCACCAGCCAAUCAAAUGACAGAUUUAAAAAAUCGUUUGUCUAAUUGGCCAAUCAGCGCUCAGUCCAGAUUCUGGACUGAAUAACCAGGCAAAAUGCCGCUUUUGUGUCAGGCCGUACUUUUCUCCCCUUCGCCCGCGAUCAGGCGUGUCUGUGCCCUAAAAAGUACGGCCUGAUACUCAGGUUAGCUAAAUCCUAAGCUUACCGCGCUAGGAACUAGGAAGUUCACUGUACUUCCGCCGGAAGUCUCCCAGUGGAAUAUCGACUAGGAUCCAGUUCACUUCGCGGUCAAUUCCAAGAUAGCGGCCAACUGAUGUGAAAUUUCAGGAUUGAGGGUAAUAUCUUCAUGUUUCGCGCAUGAAUAUAUUUCUCUUUGAUCUUGACUCAAUCCCAGCUCCUUCUCUAACCCUAUAUUCUGCGCGAAACAUGCAUGAGGGUAUAUAGAGGAUAUUCCAUGGCGGCGCGAAGAUAUAACUUUUAUCUUCGAGUGGUGAAAACAAAAUUUUACGAACGAGCGCAGCGAAUGAGUAAAAUAUUGUUUUUAACACGAGAAGAUAAAAGUCAUCUUCAAGCCACCGCGUGUAAUGUUCUGUUUAUUAUAUAGUCCCAAGCAAAAAAUUAUGAAAUUUCACGCUCAAAAGCAAAUUGGAAAAAGUCAUGUGAUCGAUAUCUUCACUAGUGAAGAUAUAGAAAAUAUCUCACUGUGUAUUUUUCAGUAUCUCACUCUACUAUAUAAUAAAUUUAAGAAUUGGAAUUGGAACAUGGUGUCCUGGACGCGGAUCAAUGCUACGUAUUAAUGAGGUGUGCGACUGUCUACGGAGAUUGCGGCGCGCCACUGAUGAGUUUAUCAUCAUUCUUGAUACAAAAUAUAGUGCAGGGUUUAUUUUAACGUGCAGUUCUACACAAAAUGUGCAGUUCUAAACCCAUUUGUGCAGUUCUUAAAACACCAAUGUGCAGUCACCAAACUAACAAAAUAGCCACUGUGACCAAAUUUUCAUUUCUGUUUUUUUUCCAUGAUUGUGAAGAAUGCGUAUAAUGAAGCUGUCACGCAAAAUUUUAGCGUGAUAUCUUAUAUUUUGCCUGAGUUAUACGACGAUGAAGUUUGAAUUUUGGCAGCCGCCAUUAAAAUCCGCCAUAUUGGAAAAUUGGGGGGGGAGAACUUAAUAUUCGUUGCUGCCUCAAAUGCAAAUUUAAGGUUGUUAUAUAUUGAAUAUCCAUGAUUCCCACAUUCCCAGAACUAGGAGCCUCUAGAUUCAAAUUGUUUUGGGGAACACCCCUAGCUCCCGCACACAAAAUCGAGUUUGUCUGGCCUUUCUCCAAUUCUCCCACCCAACCACACCAUUAUUCUGUCACCUAUAUGCAGGUAAAAAAGCCUUCGACCCCCCCUGUCAAACACCCGUUGCCUUUGUAACAUCCCUAAAUGUGCAGUUCUAAAUUUUUCUUAAAAUAAACCCUGAUAUAGUAUAUAGUUGUAAUGAAAGUUUAAUUCAUUUUUUUCAUCUAGAAUGUCGAAAGCCUUUCAAGUUAUUUUUAUAAUGGUUGUGGUUUUAUAUGUGAACGCCUACGCCAUGGAAUUGAGGAAGAGAGAAAGUUGUUACAAUAAAUGCAUGGGAAUUUGGCGAGGUUGCUUUCGAACGUGUGGCAAGCAUAACUGUAUGCUGUGUUUUCAGGGCAAAACCUCGUGUUUUAACACAUGUGCACGAAAAAGAAAUGAAAUUGUAUUUGAAGAUCAUUCAUUUGAUCUUGACAAAGAGGAUGCUGGUAUUACUUAUUAAUUAAGUUUACUCAUUUUCUUGUAAAUUAGACAAGAACAAGUAAUGUUUGGAACAAAAAGACAAUAUAAUUGUAUUUCCUAAAUAAUUAAUUAAUGUAUUGCUC